rnacentral:misc_RNA from 1 species
UUCCUGUCACGGUCACUGAG